CGAGGAUUAGUUUAACAAAAACCCUUAAUUUCGGCUUAAAAAAUUUCGGUAAACACCCCGAAAUCCUCUU
rnacentral:tRNA from 1 species